rnacentral:rRNA from 1 species
AUUGAACGCUGGCGGCAUGCUUUACACAUGCAAGUCGAACGGUAACAGGUUAAGCUGACGAGUGGCGAACGGGUGAGUAAUGCAUCGGAACGUGCCCGAUCGUGGGGGAUAACGCAGCGAAAGCUGCGCUAAUACCGCAUACGAUCUGAGGAUGAAAGCGGGGGACCGUAGGGCCUCGCGCGAUCGGAGCGGCCGAUGUCAGAUUAGGUAGUUGGUGGGGUAAAGGCGCACCAAGCCAACGAUCUGUAGCUGGUCUGAAAGGACGACCAGCCACACUGGGACUGAGACACGGCCCAGACUCCUACGGGAGGCAGCAGUGGGGAAUUUUGGACAAUGGGCGAAAGCCUGGUCCAGCAAUGCCGCGUGCAGGAAGAAGGCCUUCGGGUUGUAAACUGCUCUUGUACGGAGCGAAAUGGCUCUCUCUAAUACAGGGGGCUCAUGACGGUACCGUAAGAAUAAGCACCGGCUAACUACGUGCCAGCCGCCGCAGUAA